AAAGAAUGAGGCCGCGGGGCCAUGGACACGAUGGCUGGGAGUCGUCUUUGCGCUCAUUUCAGGGGCAUGCUGGGUCUGCGUAACAGAACACAGCAGGAACUUAAACAUCAGGAAUUUUAUUUCACACAGGCCCCUCCUGGAAGGCCAGCUGUUCACCCCUCUUCGCCACUCCAUUGGGCAGAUUCUGGAUGAAACCUUCCAGGUAGCCACGUGGGAAGCAGAUGCACUCACACUUCGCACUAACAGAGGCCUCGUGCACGCGGCUGUCAUGGAACUCCUCACAGGGCCUCUGACUCUCUCCCCAGACGGGAGGUUGAGGAAUCUGACCAAGGCCCCUCCACCGAGGGCAGCUGCUACCAAGACCCGAGGCUCUUAGUGAAAACUGAGGUGGCCUCCCUAGCACGGGAAGACGCAUCUCGCCCCUUUUUGAUCCCAUCCUGGGACUUAAGUUGAGUUGCCUGCAGGAAACAGCUCUGAGCAAACACCAAGGACCUCUUCUCACCUCGGGAGACAAGCCGACAGUUUUGCAAUAUGGUGAGUUUGUCCACAGAAGGAGAUAUAGCCUAUCCCCACUUGGGCAGCAGGCUUAUCUUGUCACGGUUUUAUUGCUCAGUUAUGAAUAAACUGCUUACAGUGAUCUUUGUGAGUUUCACA
rnacentral:lncRNA from 1 species